rnacentral:rRNA from 1 species
AGUCAAUAGAUACCCAGGUAGUCCAUGCCGUAAACGAUGAUUGCUAGGUGUGGGGGGUCUGACCCCUUCCGUGCCGGAGUUAAACACAAUAAGCAAUCCACCUGGGGAGUACGGCCGCAAGGUUGAAACUCAAAGGAAUUGACGGGGGCCCGCACAAGCAGUGGAGUAUGUGGUUUAAAUUCGAAGCAACGCGAAGAACCUUACCAGGUCUUGACAUCCACCGAAUCCUGUAGAGAUACGGGAGUGCCCUUCGGGGAACGGUGAGACAGGUGGUGCAUGGUUGUCGUCAGCUCGUGUCGUGAGAUGUUGGGUUAAGUCCCGCAACGAGCGCAACCCUUGUGAAUAGUUGCUACGAAAGAGCACUCUAUUCAGACCGCCGUUGACAAACGGAGGAAGGUGGGGAUGACGUCAAAUCAUCAUGCCCCUUAUGACCUGGGCUACACACGUACUACAAUGGUCGUCAACAGAGGGAAGCAAGACCGCGAGGUGGAGCGAACCCCGUAAAAACCGAUCUCAGUUCAGAUUGCAGGCUGAAACUCG